rnacentral:pre_miRNA from 1 species
GUACUCGAAUAGAGGUUGUCCAUGAUGUGUUCAUUCUCUUUAUGAUGAGUAUUACAUGGCCAAUCUCCUUUCGGUACU